AUCUGGCUGACAAGUCCCAAAUAGGACGAAACGCGCGUCAAACUAGAU
rnacentral:hammerhead_ribozyme from 1 species